AACGCACAUUGCGCCCAUUAGUAUUCUAGUGGGCAUGCCUGUUCGAGCGUCAUUUCAACCCCUAAGCACAGCUUAUUGUUGGGAAUCCACGCCUGUGGUUCCUCAAAGACAUUGACGGAGUGGCAGUAGUCCUCUGAGCGUAGUAAUUCUUUAUCUCGCUUUUGUUAGGUGCUGCCCCCCCGGCCGUAAAACCCCCAAUUUUUUCUGGUUGACCUCGGAUCAGGUAGGAAUACCCGCUGAACUUAA
rnacentral:misc_RNA from 1 species